CCAAUUUUUACAUGGAAUGAUAAAAAUGCCUUUAAGCAAAAGGGAGUGCAAGUAAACAUGUUUUGAAGUCUCAUUUCCAUAAUAUUUUUUGAAUUUGGAUUUGCAUAACACUAAUUUUUAAAUUGGAAAUCCCUUAUCUGGAAUAUGUAUUUUUUAUUUUCCAGAAUUUUUUUUCCAUAACGUAUUUUUUCAUUCUAAAAUAGUUUUUCCAAAAUGAAAUUUUGAUUUUUGAAUUCUAUUAUGAAAUUUCAUUUCUCAAAUACAAUAAACUAUUCCACCAAAUUUGCUUUUCCAAAAUGUAUUUAUUUAAUUUCGGAUUUUUAUUUUCAAAAUGAAUGGCAUUUUUGAAAAUUUAAAAGUGUAUAGGGAGCAGAGAAAGAAUUUGCCAAUCAUGUUUUAUUUGUUACUUCCUCCAUUUUUAUCAUCUGUUACUUUCUAAAAUAUCUAUCAUUUUACAUUUAAAAUUUAAAAUUUUAAAUGCUUUGUAUUCAAUUAUAUCCCUAUCAGAAAAGAGAGAGAACCAAGAGUAUAUCAAACAUCAUUUAUUGUAUUUCUUGAUGUGUCAAUAACUUCAAAUGAUAAAAAAAAAACAGGAUUUUUUUUUUGUCGUAUGUCUAACAAAGCAAUACAGAUACAUUAGGUUUUGGUUUCCUUUUAUGCGUGUUUUGGACAAAGCAAUUUGAAAAGACUAUUGAUGCAAUGCCAAUCAUCAAUCUUUCGAAGAGACUCAAACAUAACUUAAAUUUAGAUUCACAUCACCUCCUACCUAAAAAAUUUAAGGUAACAUGUUUUUAUAUAUUUUUUAUAAUAUUGCUCAAUUUUCUGUUUUUCUCUCUAUGUAAGUUUCAAUCACUUGAUUCUUAAACUAUUUGACUUGUUAUACAGAUUGUUUCAGAAGUUCUGAGAAUUUAUGAAGAAUGAGUCUUUUGGGUCAUCAUUGAUGCUUUACAAAAUAAUUUUUGUCAAAACAGUAAUAUUGUUCAUUUCUAAUAUGAUAAACUCUUGUAGCAGUUCAGUAUUAAGUUUGAUUUGAUAUUAAGUGGAAAGUAAAUAAAUUUGAAGUUAUGUUCCAAUUUUAUAGGUUGUGCAAAUCUGUGUGAAGUGGGAGGACAUUCUCUUAGGUAAGAAAUAGUUACUGAAUUACAUAAUCAGUGAAAGAACAUCUGCUGAAGGAUGAUACCCUAAGUAUACUGUUGGUAGAUUCCUAACAUAUCUUUGCAUUUGUUGAGAACAAAGGUGAAAGACUGUGCCAGAACAGUAGGAUCAUUGUUUCUACCUAACAAAGCUAUUUCUAUCUUUUACCAUGUUACAGACAGUGGUGACAAUCAUUGAAUUUUGCGUGUGGAUUAGAGAAUUCAGGGACCAAGGAAUCACGAACACAUGUCAUGGAUUUUGUGGACAUUGGACUAGACUAGACCAGCAUGUAAUGAAAGGUUGCACCAAGGACAAUGACAUUAUUUAAAAUGUUGUAGCUUGGUCUUAAUGAUUCUGAUAAGAAAGUGACUCAACUAAGCCUAACUAUUUUGCUUCUGAACUUGUUCAUGCCUAAGUGCUGUUUUUAAAUUGCUGCAAGAAGGUUGAUUAUGUGCAAAUUCCUUUGAGAAGCAAGUGGAACUAAAUCAUACCUUGUUGUUGAGUACUUGUGUAUGGUUAUAAUUUUUUAGAACCUUUACAGUGAACAACUACAAACAAAAUUGUAAAGGACAAGGUAGAAUAAUGUGGUUUCAAUUCAUUCGCAAGAUUCUUAACUUUAUUCCCCUGUAAAGGCUAAAAGCAACUCAAUUAUGCCAACCAAGAUCUCAUUUCCCUUUUAUCAAAUCUUCACUGAUAUUCAUGUCUUAAUCCAAGAACUCUUUUUUAGAUUCUCUUGAAAAUUUAUAACUCAUUUCUGCUGUUUCUUUUUCUCUCAAGUUUGGUAGAGAUGGAGUACCAGACACUGCUCUAAGAACCAACAGUCAAACGAAGUAUCAGCACAUCCAUGUCCCGAGGGGAGAAAACAGAGAAACAAAAGGCACAUGCUCAACCAACUAUUCUCAUAAUAUCACUCAAAUUUCUGCAACUCAAAUUUAUUUUCUUUCUGUUUCCUAUGAUAAAAAAUAAUAAGUAUGUAUCCUUUCAACAAGAAAGGGGAAAGAAAAAACAAAGAGUCAAAGCAAGAAUUGGAAAAAAAAAUACACAAGAAAUAAAAAAGAUGUUAAAAGAACAUGUUCCUUAUCUUAGCAAGUAGUGGCUUGAGUUCGAGAUUGAGUUCUUUCUUAGUAUACAGUUGUGUUGAAUACUCGAACAAGAUUGUGUCCUGUGAAAGAUGUUUUGUUUUCCUCAU
rnacentral:lncRNA from 1 species